GCACUGAAAACAACAAUGGGCUGGGUAUCGCCAAUGACUUCCCGAAUCGAUUCAAUUCCGAUUCACAAGGUCCCGAUUCGAUUACAAUAACAACUU